rnacentral:rRNA from 1 species
UACGGAGGGAGCUAGCGUUGUUCGGAAUUACUGGGCGUAAAGCGCGCGUAGGCGGCUAUUCAAGUCAGAGGUGAAAGCCCGGGGCUCAACCCCGGAACUGCCUUUGAAACUAGAUAGCUAGAAUCUUGGAGAGGUCAGUGGAAUUCCGAGUGUAGAGGUGAAAUUCGUAGAUAUUCGGAAGAACACCAGUGGCGAAGGCGACAUACUGGCUCAUUACUGACGCUGAGGCUCGAAAGCGUGGGAGCAAACAGG